rnacentral:rRNA from 1 species
UGGGGAAUAUUGGACAAUGGGCGAAAGCCUGAUCCAGCCAUGCCGCGUGUGUGAUGAAGGUCUUCGGAUUGUAAAGCACUUUAAGUUGGGAGGAAGGGCAGUAAGCGAAUACCUUGCUGUUUUGACGUUACCGACAGAAUAAGCACCGGCUAACUCUGUGCCAGCAGCCGCGGUAAUACAGAGGGUGCAAGCGUUAAUCGGAAUUACUGGGCGUAAAGCGCGCGUCGGUGGUUCGUUAAGUUGAAUGUGAAAGCCCCGGGCUCAACCUGGGAACGGCAGCCAAAACUGGCGAGCUAGAGUAGGGCAGAGGGUGGUGGAAUUUCCUGUGUAGCGGUGAAAUGCGUAGAUAUAGGAAGGAACACCAGUGGCGAAGGCGACCACCUGGGCUCAUACUGACACUGAGGUGCGAAAGCGUGGGGAGCAAACAGG